UGCGGAAUAGUGUAACGGUAGCACCUACGACUCUGACUCGUAUUGUUAAGGUUCGAAUCCUUAUUCCGCAGCCA
rnacentral:tRNA from 1 species